UAGUUCCCCAUGAGACAUUAGCGUGAGUUAAUGAUGGCUUUCAUUCUGCCUUUCAGGUUCACUUUCAUUCAGUGAGGGCAUAGAAAUUUGAGAGAUCACACCCAGGAAAAAGGGACGAGACAGAGGAAAUACAACCUGUUUAUUUUCUGCCUUCUAAUGACUGACAGGUACUAAAAGCAACAGGUACUAAAUACUGGAUAAAUUAUGCAUACAUCAGUUACU
rnacentral:lncRNA from 1 species